rnacentral:rRNA from 1 species
UGGGGAAUAUUGGACAAUGGGCGAAAGCCUGAUCCAGCAAUACCGCGUGAGUGAUGAAGGUCUUAGGAUUGUAAAGCUCUUUUAGUGGGGAAGAUAAUGACGGUACCCACAGAAAAAGCACCGGCUAACUUCGUGCCAGCAGCCGCGGUAAUACGAAGGGUGCUAGCGUUGUUCGGAAUCACUGGGCGUAAAGCGUACGUAGGCGGCUUUGUAAGUCGAUUGUGAAAUCCCCAGGCUUAACUUGGGAACUGCAAUCGAAACUGCUUGGCUUGAAUAUGGUCGAGGGUAGUAGAAUUCCUAGUGUAGGGGUGAAAUCCGUAGAUAUUAGGAGGAAUACCGGUGGCGAAAGCGACUACCUAGGCCAUUAUUGACGCUGAGGUACGAAAGCGUGGGGAGCAAACAGG